rnacentral:lncRNA from 1 species
UUUAACCCUCGGAGACUCCACGAUUGUUAAGUUUCAUGGAUCACAUAUGCAGCCCAGCUACACGGUGCUUCACAGUGGAGAGAAGGAACGUUAAUGUGUAAUAACGUAUCAAUGAGUUCUAUGGAGUUCUACAGAGAAAGAUGGAGACUGGCAGCGUGCCCUGUGAAUCAGAUGUUCUGAGACAGUCUUUCUGGGCGAAUGGUGUGAUGAAUCAUUCAAGUACAAACAUGGAGGGAGCACUGUCCUGGCCAAGAAGCCGGAAUAAAAACUGUAACACCAGGGCCCUGCUGAGGUGUACUGGGCUCUGCAGAACAAUGGCGGUCAUGUGAGCCUAUGAAUCUGUGUCACAUGCUCUGGGGCAGGGGAGUUGGGUGAGACCCAUGUGAGCACUGGAGGAAUGAACUGGCUGCUGACGGUGGUGAAACUAACGCCAUCUCCACAGUUCUGUGGAAGAAAGGUUGGAAGCAGUUUGCCAUGGGACUUUGUCAGAGUGUGAGACUGAGUGCCUGAGGUUGCAGAGAUGUUGUAAAGAGGAGGUCUGUCCAGCGGUUCAACCUAGCCCGAAGGAACGAGUCUGCUUUUUCUUGUUCACACAACUAAUAUUGGCCAUCAGUCUAGGUGGCUCACUUGCUUGGAGAGAUACUAAGGAAGACUCUACUUCUGAAGUACAGAUAGACUUCUGGAGAGUGCCUGGAAGUAGUAAAAUGAAUCCAAAAGUUGUGGGCAUAAUCUUGUUAAGGUGCUAUUUCUACUGUGGACAGUGGAAUCUACACAGGAGAAAAGAAUCAAAAGGAAAGUCUGAUCUUUUAUCCUUCCAUGGAGGUCAUUAUUAUACUGUAAAAGGAUCCCAGGUCAUCCUAUCAGCACCAAGGCAGAGGAUCACUGCUGAACUGGAGCCAGGAGUAGGAGCAAGUGACUCAUACAAGAGGAAGACUUGGGUUUACCUGUGAAGCGAACAUCAUUUUUAAUGAAACAACUCAGAGGGAGAUGACUGGACCAGUUUGACUUUCUUGUUGCUGUGGCACAAUGCCUAGCAAGAGCUACUUACAAAGCAGCACCGUUUAUUCUGACUCCCAUUUCAAAAGUUACAGGUUCAUGGCCAGUGGUGAGGCAGAGUAUCACAGUGGUUGCAUAUGGUGGGAUGGAAGGA